AUUUUGAGAAUUGGUUAUUCUAGGAUGUGGUCAUUAAGGUUUAAAAACUAUCUCAAAUAAUUUCUGCGUCAAUAAAUCAUACAAAUUUAAAAAAAAAAAUUAGACCACGCGGCCGCGCCAUCGUAAACAAUUCCAUCCUACAUUUAAUUUAAAAUUAUCUAACGGCUGAGCAGACAUUCCAUUGCACAAAAAACAAUUAAAAAAAUAAAUUGCGUUUUUUAUCCAUAAUCAUUCCAUUUGCAUUUUUUUUAAA